GUCGAGCGCGGCGAUCGCGCUCCCGGACGACGGAUCAGUACCCGGAACGCGACAGGACUGGCCGGG
rnacentral:ncRNA from 1 species